CAUGCUCUCUAUCAGGAGGUGGUGGUGUGGACAGCUGUUGGAGACCUUUAUGCUUGAAAGCCCUGCAGAACUAGCUGGCUCCUUCUCACCCUCUCCAUCUCCCCAUCUCAGUCACACCUUCCAAUCACUAAGCAGUGAAAGCCCUGCAGGACUAGCUGGCACACCAAGCUCACCCUCUCCAUCUCCCCAUCUCAGCCACACGCUCCAAUCUGGCACAACAGAGGACAGGCCAUUCUUACCACCCGAAGUCCUUCAGCAAAUUGUACAAGAGACGCUG